UUCAGCGACGGGAUGCAGACUGGUUUUUCUAAGGGCGGUCGUCGACGAUGGAAGCUGCGACUGAGCUGGUUGGUUUUCCGGCGUGGCUAUGGCGGACUGCUGUAGGGUGGUUGACGGGGUGGUUUGACGUGGAGUGGUCGUGAGGUUGAAGCUGGAGUAUGACUGGGCAGUAGGGACUGUUUGGUCGAAGGGGACGAGGAGGCUAUUUGGAUGGCGGUUUGACGAGCGUGGGUGGCUGGACUGCCGUGAGGCUGCUGCGGGGUGUUCGUUGGUUACGUGAGGUCGACGGAACUAGGCUGUUGGUAGACUGGGGGCGGUGUCGUUGUUGUUUGGUUUUGGAAGAAGGUGAGGGUUUUACUGUUUGGUUUCUCCUCCUUCAAGAAGAUCACUUCC
rnacentral:lncRNA from 1 species